GGCAAGGUUGGCGCUGGCUCAAACCAAACAGCCCCUCAAUCCCACCGAGAAUUCCUUUUUCACCACUCAGUUCUUAUCUUCUCCACAUAUCCACCCAACUCUCUGCCUCCAUCUUCCUUUUCCUGCGACAUUUGCCCACCACCCAGCGCCACGUCUCCACCGGCAGCCGACGUGCACCACCAGACUUCCUCCCGCACCUCCGCCACAGUCCCAGCCAGGCCUCGUGCGCACAGGCCGGCCGCCAGCCAGGAGCCCAUACAGAGCCAGCCGCGCUGCAAUAACGCCGCCGCCCGUACGCCGCCUCCCGCACCAACCACGCCCGAGCAAGGAGCUCCCCUCGACCCCGACCCCUGCAGCUCCUCCUCGGCUCCCCGUCCGGCAACUGGCGCCGUCACCGGCUAGCCCCGCAACUCGAGCCGGAGCAUCACACCCGCGCCAUGAAUCUCCGACCCCGAUGCCCAAGCUCCCGCCGCUGUUCUGUGGACCGAGUUAUUCGCUGAAGGGAAACCAUCUGAAAAAAGACAACAAGAGAGAGACGCCAAUGAACAAGUUGAUUCUAUCAUGCCAUUGGGAGAAGCGCCCAAGGAAAAGGUAGUGUGCAUGCUAGUCUUCUCAUGGUGUACCGGUUCGUGGGAGAGCCAAGAGUUCGUGCUGGGGCAUUGCUUACCUUGGACUACCUACGAUGUGAAUACAGUGCAACGUGAUAUUGAUACCGAAGAAGAGCGAACAUGGUGGUCCGCCGAGUAUUGGCGCGUGUCACUCUAUGUGCACUGCCACAUUGGUCUACUCAUGAUUAUGCAGGUCUCGGAGGGAAAGUAUGACACAGCUCCCGAGAAACCCGCCCGUGCGUUGCAACGGGCAUAUUCGAGUGAUUCAACAUCAUGGUUUGUAACAUAUAGCCUUGUCGACUUAUGGCCUUGUCGACUUUCUUGUACCGUUAUAGCAUUAAUUUCCGUGUCCUCCUCC